ACACACAUACCUGCAGGAGUGGUUACUUUGAAGAAACGUGAGUUCAGGACAUUGAAGCAAAAGGAUCAUACCGUGACAGAGUAUCUUCA
rnacentral:pre_miRNA from 1 species